rnacentral:rRNA from 1 species
UACGAAGGGGGCGAGCGUUGUUCGGAUUUACUGGGCGUAAAGGGCGCGCAGGCGGCUCCAAAAGUCAGGCGUGAAAGCCCCGGGCUUAACCUGGGAGGUGCGUCUGGGACUGUGGGGCUAGAGUUCGGGAGAGGAGCGUGGAAUUCCCAGUGUAGAGGUGAAAUUCGUAGAUAUCGGGAGGAACACCGGUGGCGAAGGCGACCAUCUGGACGGAUACUGACGCUGAGACGCGAAAGCGUGGGUAGCAAACAGG